CCCUUAGAUGUUCUGGGCCGCACGCGCGCUAAACUGAUGCAUUCAACGAGUCUAAAACCUGCUCUGAUAGGGGUGGGUAAUCUUUUGAAUGUGCAUCGUGAUUGGGAUAGAUGAUUGCAAUUUUUCAUCUUCAACGAGGAAUGCCUAGUAAACGCAAGUCAUCAGCUUGCAUUGAUUACGUCCCUGCCCUUUGUACACACCGCCCGUCGCUCCUACCGAUUGAAUGAUCCGAUGAAUAUCAUGGAUUGAGGAUGCAAGUAGGUUCGCCUAUCUUCAUCUUCGAGAAGUGAAGUAAAUCUUAUCAUUUAGAGGAAGGAGAAGUCGUAACA
rnacentral:rRNA from 1 species